ACUUCCGCUCCUCGCAGCGGAGCCGGUCCCCUAGGGCUCGGGUCGCACGGAGCUGACCCCUAACGAAAUGGGGCCGCGCCAAGGGCGGUGGUGGCUGCUGCUCUGGCUGCCGCCCCUGGCCACACUGCCCGUGCGCGGGGAGGCGGCGGCGGCAGCGUUAUCAGUUCGUAGGUGUAAAGCUUUGAAGGAAAAAGAUUUAAUUAGAACGUCUGAGUCAGACUGUUACUGCUACAAUCAAAAUUCCCAAGUGGAGUGGAAAUACAUAUGGUCAACUAUGCAGGUGAAAAUUACCAGUCCAGGCCUGUUCAGAAUUGUAUAUAUCGCAGAAAGACAUAAUUGCCAAUAUCCAGAAAACAUUCUAUCUUUUAUCAAAUGUGUGAUUCAUAACUUUUGGAUACCAAAGGAAUCUAACGAAAUAACCAUAAUCAUCAAUCCAUACAGGGAGACUGUGUGCUUCUCUGUGGAGCCUGUCAAGAAGAUAUUUAACUAUAUGAUACAUGUGAAUCGAAACAUCAUGGAUUUCAAACUCUUCCUUGUGUUUGUGGCAGGAGUUUUUCUUUUCUUUUAUGCAAGGACCCUGAGUCAAAGCCCUACUUUCUAUUACUCCUCGGGAACUGUGCUAGGUGUUCUAAUGACAUUAGUCUUUGUCUUGCUGUUGGUGAAAAGAUUCAUUCCGAAGUAUAGCACCUUUUGGGCUCUAAUGGUUGGUUGUUGGUUUGCCUCAGUUUAUAUUGUAUGCCAGUUGAUGGAAGAUCUGAAGUGGCUGUGGUAUGAAAACAGGAUAUAUGUAUUAGGCUAUGUCUUGAUAGUUGGAUUUUUCAGCUUUGUUGUUUGUUACAAGCAUGGGCCCCUUGCAGACGACAGGAGCAGAAGUCUUCUGAUGUGGAUGCUGCGACUCCUCUCCCUGGUUCUGGUCUAUGCUGGUGUGGCCGUGCCUCAGUUUGCCUAUGCAGCCAUAAUCCUCCUCAUGUCCUCCUGGAGUCUGCACUACCCACUGAGAGCAUGCAGUUAUAUGAGGUGGAAAAUGGAGCAGUGGUUUACAUCAAAAGAGCUGGUGGUGAAAUAUCUUACGGAAGACGAGUACAGGGAGCAAGCUGAUGCUGAAACGAACAGUGCUCUGGAGGAGCUACGCCGGGCCUGCCGAAAACCCGACUUUCCCUCAUGGCUGGUCGUCUCCAGACUCCACACUCCUAGCAAAUAUGACUUGGGGCACUGGUACCUCUGAUUUUGAGAGUCCCACUGUUGAAAGGAAUCAUCCCUUCCAAGAAGCCUCCCAAGAUGUCUCCAGGUAUAAUUAGUCCUCCUGUCCCCCGCUGUUCCUCUGCUACACUCUUUGUUUCCAUUAGAGGACUCAUCACAGUCUGUUGCACACUGAAGACUGAGACCCUGGGAGACAACGGCCAUGUCUUCUUCCUCUUUGUACUCAAAAAGAGCCUGCCUUGCUCAGGCACUCCAUGAAUCCAUAACAUCAUUUAAUAUAAUCUUAUGUAAACUGAUAAAAUAUGAGGGCAAAAGGAAGCAUUACUCUCAUGAAAACAGUAUUUCUCAACAAGCUACUGUCAUUUUGGAUGGUGCAAUUCUUUAUUGUGUGGGAUCCACCAUUCACUGUGGGAUGUUUAAAAUCCCUGACGCUUGGGUGCUAAAUGCCAGUGUCUGAAACACUAAAAUUUGUCCUGUGCACAUUUUUAAAUGGCUCCUGUUGAGAACCAUGAGGUAAAUCUCUUAAAACAAUGGUUAUUCUGUUCCCAUUUCUCCAUAAAAUGUCUGUAUGUGUACUCAAUAUGGAAUCAAUUCAUAUCCAUAUUCACAUUAUAUUAAUACAAAAACAAACCAAGAAGGAGACAGACAGCAAAUCACGAACAAUGAUUAUCCUGGAAAUCUGCGAUGAUAGGGCCCUUCAUCGCCUAAGGAGUAUAUUUCUGUAGAUUUUGAGUUCGUAUAGUGAGUUAUGUACUUCCUAAUAAUCACAUAAUAAUAAAGAUUUAAGUGGUAGGGAAAAAAGUACUGUCAAAUUAGGCAUGGGAAAGGCAACCUUUAAAUUUUUAAAUUAAAAGACUUCUGCUCUCAGAUUGUUCUGAAAGUAUAUUAAGGUUCAUGUUCCACACUAAAAAAAAAAUUAAAACUGGUAGAAAUCAUAGAUUGUAGAUACUACAGUUUAAAUGUCUGUAUACCCUCCAAAAUUCAUAUGUUGAAACUAAUUCACCAAUGUGAUGAUAGUAUGAAGGAGGUGAUUAAGUCAUGAGAGUGGAGCCCUCAUGAGUGGGUAAAAGAGGUGUGAGGGAGCUGUUUCCCCCUUUUGCCCUUCUGCCUUCUGCCAUGAGAGAACACAGCAUUCAAGGUGCUAUCUGGGAGGCAGAGAACGAGGCCUUUACCAGUCACCGAACCUGCCAACACUUUGAUCUUGCACUUCCCAGCCUCCAGAACUGUUUGGCAUUUAAAGCAAGGUAAAAGACAUUGCAGAAUAUUAAGUAUAGUAUUGUAAUAUUUAUGUCAGAAAAAGGAAGUGACACAUACAGCUACAUACUUACAUAUGAACAGAAUAUCUCUAAAAGGAUACAACACUAGAACCUCAUAUAAUGGAUAGUCUCUAAGGAGAGGAAUUGGGGGACUGCCCAAGGGGUGGGAGAGAGACUUUACUAAAUACCUUUUGAAUGUUUUUCCAAGUGCAUGUCUACUUUCUCAAAGAAUGAACAGACAUCAAGUCACUGUGUUUCAUGCAGUAGAAACAGACCCAUUAAAUGAUGUGUGAUGUCUGACCCAUGGUUCUCAACCUGAAGGGAUCACUGUCUGGGUUUCUAUUUUGGCUUCAAAACCAUACAACAUUCUAGCUAAGUUCAUAUUUAAAUUAUUCCUUUCUUUUGAAACUCUUGGGAGAUUGGGUGUGGGUAAACCAUCUAGUUGUCCAAAGAGUUAAGAAAGACAUAGGAAAUAGUGUUGCCAUAAUCAUUUUCUUCCUGGACAAAGAAAUGGUGUUCUGUGUCAGACUUAACAAGAGUGCUUGUUUGCUUCAAGAGCUGCAUGGAUCAUCAGAAAGUCUACGUAACACAGUAGGAACAUCUGCAUCAAAAUUGCUGAUAUGAAGAAGAUUCUAUUAUAAAACAUCUUUCCUUGUCACCUUGUCUGGCACAACACUGCCUAGCUCUCAGUCCUCCCACUCGCAGGGAUGACAAAUGGACUCACUCGGCCACCAUCCCCACCUGUCUCUGUGUCUUGAUAUUCUUCAGCUCUCACCCAGCUCCAUCUCAUGCCUGGUCCAUUCCCUUUAAUAUGUGAUUGCAGCAUCACGUGCCUCUCCUCACAACACUUAUCUUGGUUGUAACAGUGCACCUACAACCUGACUGCAUUCUGCAUGCAGGGUGAGGACUUUCAUAUUAUGCUGGCUCAUUUUUAUCCCCAAUGCUUGACACAUACCAGGCACUCAGUAAAUAGUCCGGAACGGAAGAGAAAAUAUGAAUACUUCAAAUAGAAUAUCAAUUAACAAAUACUUAUUGAACAUACUCUAUGCUAAGUGCUAGGGAUAUACACUAUGCACAUAUUAUACAUGUGUGCAUACGCGAGUGUAUGUAUGAUUAAGAUAUCUGAUUAUGGUAUAGGAAUAAGUGAUGGGUAUGUGAAAGAAUGAAUGGACUUAAAAAAGAGGCCUAGAAAUAUAUUUAAAAAAUAGAUGUCUAUAUUCUGCAACAUUUUUGACUAACAUUAAUAGGCUAUGGUUGAAAAUAAAUAUUUUUAUUUAUGUGGACAAACAAUAAAUAGCUCAAUGAGUAGCUGAUUACAGUUUGUUUAUUUGGAGCAUCCUGACGCACUGUGCAAUGGAACUUCAGCACAUGCUCUGAGCAGAUAACAGGGUUCUGCUCACCACAAGCCUAUCUCACCAGAAGAGUAAGAGCUAGGAUAUAAGCCACAAAGCUCAGAGUCAGUGGUAGUCCCACAGCAUAGCUGAAGGGACCACCAAGGAGAUCCUGGGAGCCACCAAGCUUCUAUCAGCCAGCAGGUAUGACUGGCCACUGACCCAUCCUUGUAGAACAGAGCAUAAGAAUCACAUUGUAUGUCAGAGAGUGAAUUAGAAAUAAUAUUUAGCUGUGUAUAUUUUCUGCAGCUACUAAUACUUCCUUCUAUUGUUUCUGCUAGAAAGAGAAAAGGUAAAAGUAAUUUGGGUCUGAGUCUCUACUAGCUGGAAAUCAUUUUGUUGUGUUCAGAUUCUUCCCUCUAAAAUGACUGAUAAGCUAAGAGUGUAACUAUGGUCACCAUCAGCAGGAUCACUGUGCUGGUCACUGUGCUGUGACCAUGUUUAUAUCUCUCCAUUGUUAUUUUAGUUUAUCUGUUUUUUUCUUAAGUUGUGUGUAUCUCCAGGUAGAAAACUAGAGAUGUUUAAAACAAAAGAGAACCUUGAUUAAUGGAACCCAACCACUUAGAAGACACAAUAUGCUGUUUUGUUGUUAUAUUUUUCUGUUUAGUCAAAUGACUGAACAUAUUCACACACACACCCCCUACAAUUUUGUUUAAAAAUUUCCUAGGAUAUGGCUUAAGGUAUACAUAUGACACAAACACUAUAAUUUCCUGAGAAGAAUCACUGACAUUUGGCAUAGCCGUUAAUUUUAAAAAGGCCUCAAGAGUUUUACUUGACCCUAAGCUAAAUUUGACGAAGCUGAACAAGUUCAUCGAAACUCAGGUUGAAGCAAUGUCAUGACCAAAUCAAAAGCAGAUACUAAUCCUGCUGUUCCUGACUGUGGUGAGACACAGCAGGAAUGGGUACAGUUAAGGGCAUCACAUCUUAAGAGAUCACUGACGAAAACAAAAGAGAAAGGAGCCACAAUAUGGAGGGAGGAAAAAAGGAGUCUUGGAUAGGAUGUUCUGGGAGAAACCCCUAGGGAGUUGGAGAAGCAAAGCUGCAGGUGAGACUCAAGGAUGGGAAGGGCUUUUCUACUGAAGAGGGGAUGGACCCACUCUCUACGUCAGACUUGGGAGCAGUCAGUACAACAGAUGUUCUUGUUUUACCUUCUGCUAAGCAGAAACUAAGCAUGAUUCUCUGUUCUCAGCUGAACUUGAUCCUAGAGCUGCCUGGGACCUCUGGCGCAGGCCUUAUGAGUAAGCCUGCCCAAAAGGAGACAGAGCUAAUAGAGGGAGAGAUGCAGGUUCUGAUCGCGUCAUCUGAGACCUGGUUAAAGCUACACCUCUGGUCAUUUGCUGGACUUCUCAAUUGGACAAUACAGUCCCCAUUUUACUUAAGCUUCUCUGGCUGAUGAAACCAAGGCCCUGAAAGGUUCACCAAGUUGCCAGGGUCGUGCAGAUCAACAAACUGCAGAAGCAAGACUCAACCAGGUCUUCUGCUGUCAAAUCCUGUGCCCUUCCCAUGGCCAGCAGAGCCUCCCCCAGCUGGAUCAGAAACCUUUCAGGGAAAUUUAGAAGGUGCUUUCUUUCAUACACACAAAAAGUAGUGAUCACUUAACCUUAAAAUCUUGUUUCACAAAGAUGUUGUAAUAUUAUACCUAUACUUAAAACGUUAGAUUUCUAAUAAAAUUUAAUUAAUAGAGCUAUGAAUAACUUAAUAGUAAUAAUGAAAGUCAUAGUAAUUAAUAGUAACUUAAUAAAUAGCAAUAAAAUAGCAAUGAUACUAGUCUCUAUUUUGAUGAUACCAAUAUUAGUGUCUAAUGUAUACAAAAGAGCAUGGGAUUAUAAACUAGACAACCUGGGCUAAAGUCUCCAACUCCACCACUCAGAAGGGACUUUGGGCAAAAAGCAAAUCUGUUCCUUUCCAGGCUUGCAUGGUGGAUCUGCUUACCAACACACAUAUACAUAUACAUAUACAUUAUACAUAUACAUAUACAUAUACAUAUACAUAUACAUAUACAUAUACAUAUACAUAUACAUAUACAUACAGAAACCAGGAACACAUAUACAUACAGAAAAAUACAAGUUUGCCGUUGCCGGACUCACUCCUACCAUCAUCCCACUAUGUUAGGCCAUAGGUCCCUAUUCUAGUGUCUUCUGACUCUUAGAAUCUUUGGGGAUCCCAUCCCUCUAUACCUGCCUCAGGCUCUCCUUACUCUAUUUAGACACAUUAUUAAUUUGCUCGGGCUGCCAUGACAAUAUGCCAUAAACUGGUGGGUUAAGCAAUAGACAUUUAUUUCUUAUAGUUCUGGAGCUGGAAAUCUGAGAAUAGGAUACCAGCAUGUCUGGGUUCUGGUGAGGGGUCUCUUCCUGGCUUGUAGAUGACCACCUUCUUACAGUGUCCUCAUAUGGUAGAGGGAGGGCGGCAGAGGGGAAGAGGGAAGGGUAAAGAAAGAGAAAAAGAGUCGUACACAAGCAAGCUCUCUAGCAUGUAUUCUUGUAAGGGCACUAACCCCAUUAUGAGGGCCCCACUCUCAUGACCUCUAAACUUCAUUACCUCCCAAAGAUCCCAUCUCUAAAUAGCAUCACAUUGGGGGUCAGGACUUGAAUAUAUAAAGGAGGUGGGGGACACCAUUCAGUCCAUAGAAAAAUGCUUCUUAUCUCUAUCUUUAAUACCUUCACUCUCUAACACAAUUGGAAACCUCCCCAGGGGCUCCAUGAACCGUGGCUGCAGGCUCUCAGGUACUCUAUCCCAGGACCACAAGGAGUUAAUUUGAUAUUUCCACCAAUGGAGGGUAUCAGGCUCUCAUUAAGCCAUUGUAAAAUGGAUGUAAUAAAACAACUGUUUUCUAAGAUUACUGUAACAAUAAAAAUAUUUGUUAAAACUA